rnacentral:lncRNA from 1 species
GCCCCCGCCCCGCAGGGCCCCCAGGCCGGGCGCUGGGGGCGCACAGGUGAGUACAAAUGCGGACGCUGCUGAGAACAGCGAAAGCCUUUUUCAAAAGUGAUAUUGAUUUACGUUAUGGGGUUGUGACUCGAGCCAAGAGGAGAGAGACGCACAAACGCUCUUUAGGUCUGCUUGUUGUGUUUAAGACAAUUCAUGCUUGUAUGGCCGACUGCAUUUCGCAGUUUUCCUGUCCGUUUUCCUCUGUUCUUCCUAGAAUUUUAUUUGCGGGUUGGGCAUGUAUUCUUAGCUCUGUUUUGAAACUGAAGCUCAGAAAGGUGGUGCCUCCCCAUCCCGUCCCCAAAAGCCCUGUGAAGUGGACAGGGCAGGAGUGCCAUCUUAAUUGCAACAGGUGUAAAAAUUAAAGCUCAGCAAAUUGUGGUUUCCUCCAAAAACUGGUGGAGGGCUUAAGGCAAACGUCUUUAUCCCGAUUUUAUAGAUUAUGACUCUGGGGUUUAACAAAGAGUUUUAAGUGACUCACUCCAGUUCAGCCAGCUUAUGGCAGAGCUGGAACUCCAACUGGGUGUCCUAAUUUCCUUCCCAAGUUAUUCCAGUUAGACCAGCUGCAACCACAUGAACAAGCAGGUGGCCGGCUUUGAAGCCUUGUCCAAGUCACAGGUCCUCCUCUCUUCAUGGCCUAACUUCCAGAUCCAGCCCUUUUAAAAAGAUGUCUGUGAAUAUUCAGAUGACGUG